rnacentral:rRNA from 1 species
GAUGAACGCUGGCGGCGUGCCUAAUACAUGCAAGUCGAGCGAACAGACGAUGAGCUUGCUCCUCUGACGUUAGCGGCGGACGGGUGAGUAACACGUGGAUAACCUACCUAUAAGUCUGGGAUAACUUCGGGAAACCGGAGCUAAUACCGGAUAAUAUAUUGAACCGCAUGGUUCAAUAGUGAAAGACGGUUUUGCUGUCACUUAUAGAUGGAUCCGCGCCGGAUUAGCUAGUUGGUAAGGUAACGGCUUACCAAGGCGACGAUGCGUAGCCGACCUGAGAGGGUGGUCGGCCACACUGGAACUGAGACACGGUCCAGACUCCUACGGGAGGCAGCAGUAGGGAAUCUUCGGCAAUGGGCGAAAGCCUGACGGAGCAACGCCGCGUGAGUGAUGAAGGUCUUCGGAUCGUAAAGCUCUGUUAUUAGGGAAGAACAGAUGUGUAAGUAACUAUGCACGUCUUGACGGUACCUAAUCAGAAAGCCACGGCUAACUACGUG